rnacentral:rRNA from 1 species
CCCAAACCAUAUUUACAUUUAAGAAGUCUUCUGAGUAAACCGAUUAAAUAAAUCAAAACUUUCAACAACGGAUCUCUUGGUUCUGGCAUCGAUGAAGAACGCAGCGAAAUGCGAUAAGUAAUGUGAAUUGCAGAAUUCAGUGAAUCAUCGAAUCUUUGAAAUCGCAUUGCGCCCGCUAGUAUUCUGGCGGGCAUGCCUGUCCGAGCGUCAUUUCAACCCUCAAGCCCCCGGGCUUGGUGUUGGGGAUCGGCGAGCCUCCGCGCCCGCCGUCCCCUAAAUCUAGUGGCGGUCUCGCUGUAGCUUCCUCUGCGUAGUAGCACACCUCGCACUGGGAAACAGCGCGGCCACGCCGUUAAACCCGCAACUUCUGAACGUUUGACCUCGGAUCAGGUAGGAAUACCCGCUGAACUUAAGCCCAUC